GCGGGUAUGGUGUAGUGGUAGCGCGCCGGCUUCCCAAGCCUGAAGUGCGGGUUCGAUUCCCGCUACCCGCU
rfam:Ruegeria pomeroyi DSS-3, complete genome.